rnacentral:rRNA from 1 species
GGAGUUAGCCGGUGCUUCUUCUGCGAGUAACGUCACAGAUGUAAGGUAUUAACUUACACCCUUUCCUCCUCGCUGAAAGUGCUUUACAACCCGAAGGCCUUCUUCACACACGCGGCAUGGCUGCAUCAGGGUUUCCCCCAUUGUGCAAUAUUCCCCACUGCUGCCUCCCGUAGGAGUCUGGGCCGUGUCUCAGUCCCAGUGUGGCUGAUCAUCCUCUCAGACCAGCUAGGGAUCGUCGCCUAGGUGAGCCUUUACCUCACCUACUAGCUAAUCCCACCUGGGCUUAUCCAUCAGCGCAAGGCCCGAAGGUCCCCUGCUUUCCCCCGUAGGGCCGUAUGCGGUAUUAGCAGUCGUUUCCAACUGUUAUCCCCACAAAUGGGCAAAUUCCCAGGCAUUACUCACCCGUCCGCCGCUCGUCAUCUUCAAAGCAAGCUUUUGAAAUGUUACCGCUCGACUUGCAUGUGUUAGGCCUGCCGCCAGCGUUCAAUCUGAGCCAGAAUCGAACCCUGA